UACGUAGGGUGCAAGCGUUGUCCGGAAUUAUUGGGCGUAAAGAGCUCGUAGGCGGUCUGUCGCGUCGGCUGUGAAAUCCCGGAGCUCAACUCCGGGUCUGCAGUCGAUACGGGCAAACUGGAGUACUGCAGGGGAGACUGGAAUUCCUGGUGUAGCGGUGAAAUGCGCAGAUAUCAGGAGGAACACCGGUGGCGAAGGCGGGUCUCUGGGCAGUAACUGACGCUGAGGAGCGAAGGCGUGGGGAGCGAACAGG
rnacentral:rRNA from 1 species